rnacentral:rRNA from 1 species
CGGCAAAAGCUCAAAUUUGAAAUCCUUCGGGAGUUGUAAUUUGUAGGUUGGGAGACCCCGCGGCUAGUGGCACCAAGUCCCUUGGAACAGGGCGCCUUAGAGGGUGAGAGCCCCGUAGGUACCACAACACCGUCUUGUGUCUCCUCUCCAAA